CAGAGCCUGCCCGGAUCCAGAGUUUGGUAAAGAAUUACUCGCAAAUUUUGGUGCAAUUGCUUACACUUUGGUGCAAAAACCUAUUGUCAAGGUCUUACCAGAAAAUGGCUUGGAGGUUAGGUUAUCAGGGUCAGGAGUAACAGGGAGCCCUCCUACAACUGUCACCCACAAUGUUGAAUAUUGAUUGGAGAUGUAGGGUUAUUCUUUACUGCAGUGCGUACUGAUAUCCAAUUUAUGCUACUGAUGGAAAUGUACUUUGGAAAUGUACUUUGGUGGGUUAAUUUAUGCAAUGUACUUUGGUGGGUUAAUUUAUGCAAUGAGGAAUUGAUCUUAUAAUUAA